GUUUCGGGGCAGAACUGAACUGAGUCCCAGGUUUGUUUGGUUCUGCUACACCUACUGUCAGCAGUGAGAACAGAGCAUUUUAAUAGAAACGCUGGGACUAUUUUAGUCUUCCUCAUUGUUGAAAAACAGCAGGUGAUCUAAGACAAAGCCCUCACCUGGAAAGACUCUUCAAUGACCUCUUCCCCAGAGCUGCUUUCAGGUGGUUGCAACUGGUUACAAAAUCCGGGGGCAGUCCUCACUCUCAGAACAAGUCUUUUUCUUAGCGGUGUGUUAUCCCUCUCCAACGAGCAAAAGCUAAUGGAGGACAGGCAGACCUGGGUCAGUUGCAUUUGGAGGAGACUUGAAAGCCAGCACCACCACCUUCCUUUCAUUCUGAGCGCUGUUGACCAAAGCCUGCCAGUUGGGGAGGGGAGACCCAUGGACCAGAGCUCUCCCUCCUUCUGGGUCAGUCCUGGCCAGUUAGAUUUGCAUGUGUGAGGCCUGAAAUAAUAAAAAUGGAAGGCAAGUGUUCCCUGAUCCUAGAAACUGAACAAAUGGGCGGAUUCUGUGAGAUCCGCAAAGGCAGGUACAACCUACUGGAAACCAAGAGGCUUUUGAAAACUUAGGGUAAGUACAGCUGAAAGGAUUUCCAAAACGGAACACGCUGGUGUUCAUCCAGAUCAAGUGACAAACUGUUACCAGUGCUUCCAGAGUCCUGCCUGGGCCCUUCAGUCACCACAACCCCCGGUCCGUUAUGUUCACCACUCCCCUGACCUCUGACCCCAGAGAGUCGGUUUGCCUGUUUCUGCUCUUAUGUAAAUGUAGCCAUGUAGUGUGUAUCCUUUUGUGCCAAGCUUCUUUCAUCCAGUGUAAUGUUUCUGAAAGCAUUUGUUCAUAUUGUGGUUCUUAGGCAUUAUGAUGAUAUGGGAACAAAAUAAGGUCUCCCACGAAAGCAGAGUCGACAAGAGUCACGCCUUGAAUUGAAGGAACAGGAUCUCCGGCAGGGUCCACAGGGCUCCACCCUGGCUGCAGGACAACAGCUCCAUCUUUUGGACAGCGAUGGGAUUUGCUUAGGGGCCCAGAGAGUAUAGACACUGCCCUCUGUCUCCUCACUUCCACUGCCCCUACCCACUGCCCAAGAAAUGAAAAAGAAAGAGAAGAAAAAGGGAGACAGGCAGCUCUCCAGCGUGGAGAUCAUCAGUCUUGCUUCUCCUUCCCUGCAAGACUAUAUGACUUGCAUUUGCCAUUGUGGAAAAUUUUACAACAUAGUGGAGAGAAAAUAAAUACUUCAACUUUUUUUUUUUUAAUUUAAAGGUGAGCAUAACACUAAGAGGUUAGUGUGAAGUGUGAUGCCAUUCCCAAAGACCUGAGGGCCUCGUGAAAAAAAAAAAAACUACGUACAUUUGAGUAAACCUCUGUCAUGAGAGCAGAAUAAUCACAGAAUAUUGAAAGGAACUAAAUAUGGUAUUUCAGCCAGUCAAGAAGUUACCUCCUUGAUCUCUAAAAUAGCCAUCUCCAUUUCAUUCUGAACACAAUUUUUAUCAUUAAAAAUUUCUGAAGCUGUAGUUCCAUUAUAUGUAUCUAUUUCUUUAGAAAGUAUAUCAAUGAACUAUGGCACACAUGUCUUGUGUACACUGUAAAGCCUACAAAAACAGAAAUGAGAAUGUGACAUAGAAAGAAAUACAAUUCUUCUUUCCCACCACGCCCCAGAGGAGAGUCUGGCACCUCCCGCAGAGUGUGCCUUUCACGUGGAAACCACAGGGCAAUACUGUGUGAGUCCAGCCAGCCCAUGGAGGAUGGAGUGGCAGGCCCUCUUGCAUCUUCACUAGAAAUGUGGGACAUAUGGAUGCACAUUUAGCAAGAAGAUGUUGCUGGAAGAAAGGCAGGCCACUCUAGUUUUGCCAGUGCCAGGUCUCUGAGAUUCGGGGGCUCACCAAAUACCAUGCCAGCCCUCCAUUUGCCAGCCUGGUACAGCUGGGCCAGGUCGCUGCGUCCCCCAUGGAAGGCGGGGGAAGCACUGGUGACCAAGCGGGAGCCUCAGGACCCAGAGUGCACAGAAGGGGCCUCUGCCCUGCAUUAGGCUGGAAGUGAAUGACAAAUAAACAUUCGUUGUACUAACCCACAGAGACAUGGGGAAUUAAUUGAUAAUUGGAGCAGGAUCACACCUAUUCUGACAAAUACACGCAGCAAGUCUAGCUGAUGAGAACUGGAGGCCAAGCUUUGGAAGAUCAGUUAUGUCCACUUGCAGCACGUAGAGGUGCUAGGGACACAAAGGAAGUGUCCCUAACCAGAAAGAACCAGGAAGACACAAACUAUCUGCUAGUACAGUGCACCACCAGUCUGGUUAUUCAUAGGUUGGUGUGUCUGCACGUAAAAACAGUAUCUUUCCUGAAUAUGAAUGUGUUGGUGUUGUUCUGUUCAAAGCAUUUCCAUGUUUAUUGUUUCAUUUGGCUAGCAAGUAUAUAUAUUCAUUCACAUGCAAAAAU